UGCGGGGACGUGACAUCACCCGGAUGCUGUGGCUCCGAAGCGUUCCGAUCAGGUGGUGCAGCAAUAUCGGAGAUAGUUUGAGAUAAGCCUCGGGUCUCAGGCGAAACUUUAGAGGAUAAGGGAUGAGUGGGUGGCUUCGGUCUUGCUCUUCCCCGACAAUGAAGGCGAAGAUAAACAUGUAGAAAGCAAAUUAAUUCCUCGUUUGGACGAGAGUUCGAAUCUCUCCAUCUCCACGG
rnacentral:tmRNA from 1 species